rnacentral:ncRNA from 1 species
AUAUUAAAAAAAAAAAAAAGAAUGGACGAUUGGGUGUUCAUGCUGUGUGUGAGAUGUGCCUCCCUCUAAACCUUGUUACAAUGUCAGUACAUUACACAGGUGAUG